UCGCCCUUUUUCCUCCAAAUAUACCGUUUAUCAUUAUGGCCGAACAGUUCAAUUUUUGUUUCGUCAGACCAC